rfam:Myotis davidii contig161942, whole genome shotgun sequence.
GGUAGUUCUCAGAUGACAGCAACCCGGAAUUGGGCUCCCUCCUCUCUAGGUCUGGGUGUGUCACCCAAGAACCACA